rnacentral:lncRNA from 1 species
UUUGUUGUAGCUUUGCCCAAAACUGAGGGAGGAUUCGAUGCCGUUUUGGUCAUGGUAGACCGACUCACGAAAAUGGUGCACCUGGCACCUACGGUAUCAUCCUGCACAGCUGAGCAAACUGCACAUCUGUUCUUUGACAACAUAGUGUGUUUGCAUGGUGUCCCCAAGAACGUUGUGACUGACCGCGGAUCGCAAUUUGCCAGCAGAUUUUGGGGCACCCUGGGUGAUCUGUUAGGCAUGCGUGUUAACCUGAGCACCGCCUAUCACCCACAGACCGAUGGACAGACAGAACAACGUACAAAUCGCACUCUUGGCGAUAUGUUGCACAAUUAUGCCGGACAUACACCUUCUGUCUGGGACACAUAUCUAACUGCUGCGGAAUUCACGAUUAAUAAUGCUGUGAAUCGCGCGACUUGCACAAGUCCGUUUUUCCUGGAUUAUGGAUACAACCCUGCCUUGCCUGUUUGGCGGGAGUUGGACGUCAACUUGCCUGCAGCAAAGACGUUUGCCAAGUCCUUUGUGUCCCGACUGACUGACGCUAAAUCUUGCCUUGAAGCUGCACAGCAACGUACGGCGGACUACUUUAACAAAUACUUAUAUGACAUACUUACAUAAAACCGCUUAAUCCCAGUGUAAGAAUGUUUAAGAAUGCACACCCGCUGCCUCCGUGUUCUUCAGACAUUCUUAUCGUUCUUAAGCAUUCUCCUAAGUUUCUUAACCCCCCUCCGCGUUUGUAGGGACUGCAGCCUCACUAUCCGAGGUUGGCUGCACUUCCUGCACAUGCAUGAGAGCAUGAGAAUAAAAGCAGGCACUGCAAAGACAGUGCUGACACAUACACACACGCCCUCCCCCAACCAGCCCCAGCCACCCGCCAUAGCAUCAGGAACUAAAAAGAGGGGAACGGGUAACGAAUCCACAAUGAAAACAACCCUGGCACAUAUGUGGCCCACCCCCGCCUGCCUACACAAAACAAAUCUGCCGUACUCCGAUAGCCAUAUCGGAGUACGACAGCUUUUUGACGCCCGACAUAAAACACAUAACAGCCCCGACCCUCCCUUCCAACUCACCUCUCCAAGCGAGCCCAAUUCCUUCUCACGGUGGCCACCCGCCUCCAUUCCCGGCUGUACGUCAGCCAGGAAUAACUAAUGUUAGUUUAGCGACAGUGAGUGGCGGUGAGUUCUAUUUUAACGUUGCUACAAGGCAUACUUAAAGAUAACACAAGUCCAUUAUCCCAAUGGAAGCUGUUCCGAAUUCCUUCUCACUUGAAGCGGUUCCGAUUAGCGACAAUUCUUGGCCCAUAUCGUGCUCGACUGAGUUGGGAGUCAUGGCUACGUGCUUUGUUCUUUCGUAAUGAAGAUACCGUACUGCUACGAAUUCUUCGCGCCACAUCGUUCGUGGGUACCCCAAAAAUGUAGCUGGAAUUUUUCGUUUUGUUACACCAAUUCUCGAGGGCUGUCAGUUUUUAUGGCACACAUUUGUUUACGUGAACACACAUUUCGCG